AAAAAGACAAAUCUCGGGUUUCCAUGUCCAACGUUUAACUGUUCGUCUUAUAUGAAUUUUUUUUAUAAUUAGUAUUUUCAUUGUUGUUAGAUGAUAAAACAUGAAUAAUACUUUAUGCGUGACUUAUCUUUUUAAUUUUUUUCAUAUUUUUUUUAAAUAAGACGGACGGUCAAUGUUGGACAUGGAAACCCAUCGUUUGACUUUUU
rfam:Oryza barthii chromosome 3, whole genome shotgun sequence.